UACGGAGGGUGCAAGCGUUAAUCGGAAUUACUGGGCGUAAAGCGCACGCAGGCGGUUUGUUAAGUCAGAUGUGAAAUCCCCGGGCUCAACCUGGGAGCUGCAUCUGAUACUGGCAAGCUUGAGUCUCGUAGAGGGGGGGUAGAAUUCCAGGUGUAGCAGUGAAAUGCGUAGAGAUCUGGAGGAAUACCGGUGGCGAAGGCGGCCCCCCUGGACGAAGACUGACGCUCAGGUGCGAAAGCGUGGGGGAGCAAACAGGAUUAGAUACCCUGGUAGUCCACGCCGUAAACGAUGUCGACUUGGAGGUUGUGCCCUUGAGGCGUGGCUUCCGGAGCUAACGCGUUAAGUCGACCGCCUGGGGAGUACGGCCGCAAGGUUAAAACU
rnacentral:rRNA from 1 species